UCUUCUCACUCUGGGAUGGAGGUUUCUGGACAAAAAAUCUCAUUCACCUGGAAGGCCAUGAAAUUGUUCUGGCUUCUGUUCUGCUUGGUGGCAGGUGAACUGUCUGACCUGCAACUGGAGGAGUCAGGGCCAGGAAUUGUAAAGCCCUCAGAGUCCCUUACACUCACCUGUUCUGUCACUGGUGGCUCCGUUACUACCAGUUACUACUGGCACUGGAUCCGACAGUGUCCAGGGAAAGGGCUAGUGUGGAUUGGAUAUUGGAGUGGGAGUACAAAAUACAACCCUGUUUUCCAAAACAGAGUCUCUAUCACAGCAGAUACAUCUAAGAAUCAGUUCUCUCUGCAGCUAAAAUCACUCACAGCUGGAUGCAGCGUUGUAUUACUGUGCAAGAAGCACAAUGUGAAGAGAGGAGUAUGAGUUCAUACAUAAACUUUCUCCUACAAGGAAGCCAGAAGAUCAGGCUGCAUAUGGUGUUCAACUACCGAGCACAAGUGUCCAGUCCCAGGAGAGUAAAGAUGAACCAUUCCUUUCAGGGUCUAUGGCUUUCCCUCUCCACUCAGCAAACUUCC